CAAUAUGAGUGUAAAACGGACUGUCCCCAUACCUUGUUCGGUAUGAGUGCUAAAUUACCAAGCCUUGAUACCCCGUCCAGUAUGAGGCAACGUUCACAAUAGGGUCCCCUAUGUACCCAGUCCGCCCACCAUCUCUCAGGAUAUUCAGUAAGACUGCCGUUUCAUCCACUCACUUAUUCAUACAAUUUUCUGCUUACCUUUACUCUCAAGUUUUCCAUUUCAACCGUAAUCACAUAAA
rnacentral:lncRNA from 1 species